AGAGGCUUAGGUUAGCAUCUCCAGACCAGGGGCCUUCAAAGCCCCCAGCGGGAGUGAAAAUCUCCCAGCCCCUG
rnacentral:tRNA from 1 species